GACCUUUUAAGUCAUAUCCUUGUGGUAAUUUGAUUUCCCUCUGCAUUAAAGACAUUAACAUUUUAAGUGUCUUAGAUGCUGAUGUGACACAUGGACCAGUGGAAAUGGUGGUUUUGCAUGUGCUGGCAUUCAGCCCCUCUGAGCAACGUCCCAAACACCAAACUGCUUUUGGAGCAUCUUUGCCCCAAAAGGAGCUGCUACCGUGCUGAAAUUAGAGCCCAGAUCACUCUUCAGAGAAUCAAUUUGCCUGAUCCUUGGGGGAUAUGACAUUAGCAUGGUGGCUAUCAUCAGUCAGAGGGCUCCCUGAUCUGCAGGCACGACCUACCAGCAGGAUCUGAGCAGGAUCACCAGGUCCCUGGCCUAGGUCACCCUCAGGGUGGCAGUGGCUCGCUACAAGGGUGCACUGCAAGGAGGCAGUGGAAGAUUGUGCAGCACCUGCAAGGACCCAGUCCCCUUCUGUGUGGGAUGUGUUAGCAGCUGAAGAGCUGAGCUCCUGCUUUUCUUUAUGUGCUCUCCUGACUCAGCCGAUCCCUGUUACAAGCACAGCUGCACUCAAGAGAAGAACAUGUUAUGAAGAGAGUUCAAACUGGCUCUUCUGCUGUGGAAACCACAUCUGUUCAAGCUGGCAUGGAGGACUGUUCUCAGGAGGAGGGAGAUGCAAAGUUCAAGGGAACUGCCUGCGAAGACACACAGUGACGGCGCUGGGUUAUAUAAUGUGCCUUGGUGUGAGGAAGCUCUUUGUUCUAUUUACAAAUCCCUGUAUUACUGACAAGGAAACUUUGAUGGCUGCCUUCCAAAGACAACAAUGAAGAAAGAAAGAAAGAAAGGGAGAAAGUCCUCCAAAAUGUUGAGAAGUUCUGUUUUUUGUACCAGUAGAGAUGAGAAAGAUUCCAGACUCUCCAAGAUAUUGGCAAAUGGUGGAAGCUUUUCCAGUUCAAGCUGCAAUUUUCCCCAAGUCCCACAUCUGUUCUACUGCAGAGCUGCAUAUUAACCCUGCUUUUCUGGGUAAAAAAUUAUGUAAAUAAACCAAUUUGCUUUCUAAAACUAUUACUGCCU
rnacentral:lncRNA from 1 species